UUCCAGACUCCUACGGGAGGCAGCAGUGAGGAAUAUUGGUCAAUGGGCGAGAGCCUGAACCAGCCAAGUCGCGUGAGGGAAGACGGUCCUAUGGAUUGUAAACCUCUUUUGCCGGGGAGCAAAAAGCGGUACGCGUACCGCAUCGAGAGUACCCGGAGAAAAAGCAUCGGCUAACUCCGUGCCAGCAGCCGCGGUAAUACGGAGGAUGCGAGCGUUAUCCGGAUUUAUUGGGUUUAAAGGGUGCGUAGGCGGGCUUUUAAGUCAGCGGUAAAAAUUCGGGGCUCAACCCCGUCCGGCCGUUGAAACUGGGGGCCUUGAGUGGGCGAGAAGAAGGCGGAAUGCGUGGUGUAGCGGUGAAAUGCAUAGAUAUCACGCAGAACCCCGAUUGCGAAGGCAGCCUUCCGGCGCCCUACUGACGCUGAGGCACGAAAGUGCGGGGAUCGAACAGGAUUAGAUACCCCCGUA
rnacentral:rRNA from 1 species